rnacentral:tRNA from 1 species
GGGGCUGUAGCUCAUUGGUAGGGCAUUUGCUUGGCAUGCAGAAGGGCCUAGGUUCAAUCAGCAUUUCCA